rnacentral:rRNA from 1 species
AUUGAACGCUGGCGGCAUGCCUUACACAUGCAAGUCGAACGGCAGCACGGGAGCAAUCCUGUUGGCGAGUGGCGAACGGGUGAGUAAUAUAUCGGAACGUGCCCAGUCGUGGGGGAUAACGCAGCGAAAGCUGUGCUAAUACCGCAUCCGAUCUACGGAUGAAAGCGGGGGAUCGCAAGACAUCGCGCGAUUGGAGCGGCCGAUAUCAGAUUAGCUAGUUGGUGGGGUAAAGGCCCACCAAGGCGACGAUCUGUAGCUGGUCUGAGAGGACGACCAGCCACCCUGGAACUGAGACACGGUCCAGACUCCUACGGGAGGCAGCAGUGGGGAAUUUUGGACAAUGGGCGCAAGCCUGAUCCAGCAAUGCCGCGUGCAGGAUGAAGGCCUUCGGGUUGUAAACUGCUUUUGUACGGAACGAAACGGCCCCUUCUAAUACAGGGGGCUAAUGACGGUACCGUAAGAAUAAGCACCGGCUAACUACGUGCCAGCCGCCGCGGUAA